rnacentral:rRNA from 1 species
UGUAAGCGUAUACCAAAGUUGUUGCAGUUAAAGCGCUCGUAGUCGGAAUUUGGCAGUUCCGGAUGUGUGCACGUCGUGUGCGCACUUCGCGGGGAUUGCUUUUGUGGUCUUGCGUAGGAUGAGGCACUUUUAUUAGUGAACGUCCUCACGCAACCACUUUUUACUGUGAGAAAAUCAGAGUGCUCAAAGCAGGCAUUUGCCGUGAAUGUAUUAGCAUGGAAUAAUAGAAUAGGACUUGGUUCUAUUUUGUUGGUUUGUUGGGAUUGAGUAAUGAUUAAGAGGGACAGUUGGGGGCAUUUGUAUUUCGGUGCUAGAGGUGAAAUUCUUAGAUUACCGAAAGACAAACUGCUGCGAAAGCGUCUGCCAAGGAUGUUUUCAUUGA